rnacentral:lncRNA from 1 species
AAAGGUGUGGUCCAGCCUCCUAACAGUGGCUACUCCUGUCUCCUCUGCUUUUCCUUCUUGUUUUGUUUCUGAGUCAAGGUUUCUCUGUGUAGCCCUGGCUACCCUGGAACUCACUCUGUAGACCAGGCUGCCCUCAAACUCAGAGGCAUCUGCCUGCCUUUUCCUCAGGUGCUGGAAUUAAAGGCGUGGCUGGUUUUUCCUUACAGUUUGUUGGCUUGUGUCAGCAGUAUUUUAGUCUUCACAUAGUUUUCUUUAUAUAUACUUUUUUGUUCCAAUUUCCUCUCUUUAUGUAAACAAUUAUAUAUAUGUAUUUUAUAUUAAUAAAUUGUUUGUAUGUAUAUGUAUGUGUAUAUACACAUACAUAUACACACACACAUACACACUAAUUCUCUGUGUGUGUGUGUGUCUCUCUCUCUCCCUAAGGGUAGUAUACACCAGUAAUUCAAGCAUUUAGGAGACUUAAGUGGGAAGAUCAUGAGUUCCAGGCUAGUCUCAACUACUUAGUGGGCCCCUGUCUGUGAACAGCAGCAGCAGCAGCAGCAACAGAAGCCACUAGAAUUACUGAAUCAUAUUCAGUCAUAUUUUUUAUAGAGAAAUAAUAGAAGGAAGACAUAUGCAGAGAAGAGUCUGAGAGGAUUCCUAAUCCUCAUUGCUAAAGGAGAGUGAACAUGCAUUAAUGUUCGUAAUAUGUAAAUGUUACAAACCAGGGAAGUCUGUGGACUCCAGUGAGGUGUCCAUUUGCCCUCCUGAGUGAUCUUUCUUCCACCUCCAUACACAUUUGAAAUAAAACUUAGUGUGGUGUUCCUCCAGAGCAUGCAGCUGAUAAAAUGUGCCCCAGGCCUCUGCUCGUUGUAGGGUGUCCAGGAGUCAAAGCCUCUAGGCAAAGGGGAGCCUUUCUAAUGGGCACACCUUUACUAAUUAAUCACUUUCCAGUAGUGAAGACAAGACCAGCCUUCUCUAGGUGUGAGUAAUUCUUCAUGAUACAAAUCUCAUGAAUAUCAUUUCAAUAGCUUAUAUUUUUAAGGUAUGCUUUGAAUUUAAAAUACCUGUUUCUAAGUACCACCAAAUACCAGUUUUUAUACAACUAUUACAUUAACUUAAAUAUAUUUAAUUUCAUAAGAAGAAUAAUGAGGGCUGGAGAGAUGGCUCAGUGGUUAAGAGCACCGACUGCUCUUCUGAAGGUUCUGAGUUCAAUUCCCAGCAACCACAUGGUGGCUCACAACCAUCCGUAAUGAGACCCGACGCCCUCUUCUGGAGAAUCUGAAGACAGCUACAGUGCACUUAGAUAUAAUAAUAAAUCUU